rnacentral:rRNA from 1 species
CCUACGAGUGGCAGCAGUGAGGAAUAUUGGUCAAUGGGCGCGAGCCUGAACCAGCCAAGUAGCGUGAAGGAUGACUGCCCUACGGGUUGUAAACUUCUUUUAUAAAGGAAUAAAGUGAGGUACGUGUGCCUUUUUGUAUGUACAUUAUGAAGAAGGAUCGGCUAACUCCGUGCCAGCAGCCACGGUAAUACGGAGGAUCCGAGCGUUAUCCGGAUUUAUUGGGUUUAAAGGGAGCGUAGAUGGGUUGUUAAGUCAGUUGUGAAAGUUUGCGGCUCAACCGUAAAAUUGCACUUGAAACUGGCAGCCUUGAGUACAGUUGGGGUAGGCGGAAUUCGUGGUGUAGCGGUGAAAUGCUUAGAUAUCACGAAGAACUCCGAUUGCGAAGGCAGCCUACUAAACUGCCACUGACAUUGAUGCUCGAAGGUGUGGGUAUCAAACAGGAUUAGAUACCCUUGUAGUC